CAACAUAUAAUUCAUAUAGGAAGAAAUAAAAAUCUUACAAUAUUUUAAUAAAUAUUCAAACUGAAAACGAUCUUAAAUUUCAAAUAAUGUAUCAAACCUCAUAAAUAUAUUAAUUUAUUUUGUCAGUUGCAGGAAUUCUUCUUUCUGAAUGAGAUGUAUGUAUGUAUGAUGUAUGUAUUUAUGUUUUCCUUAGUGCCGUUUAUAUUUAGGUUAGGAUUGUUUAAGGAUAUGAAUGUAAAUAAAUAACAAAUAACUUUUUCCUUUGCAAUAUUAUUAUGAAAGCAGCGAAAGCUUACCUGUUGUUGUUAAAUGGGCAUAAAGGAUUGCUUAGCUUCAUAACAACAUAAUUAGGAGAAAUAUAUAUUCAAAACUACUUAAAAGAUGAUGCUUACAAUAAAAAUCGGUUUUUAGUGCAAAUUAAUCCUUUUUUUUUAUUUCGCCUUAAAAUGUCAUAACUACAUUUUCGUAACAAAUAUGUGACCAAAGUAUAAUAUCUCAAUACAAAACUACCUACUUGGUAUAAAAUAACAAGAGGUACAAGUUUUAGGUGAGAAGAAUAUUUCAAAUCUCAAGUCUCUUCUGUUAUGGUUCCCAUUUAUAGAGAAUUAUGAUCGACAGCUUAUCGUUCGUUUUAUACACUAGGCUCAAAGAUUUUCACUAAAAGAGAAACUAAUCUAAACACUGAUCCUAUGUUUUCCCUUCUAAUAACAAUCUUCCACCUACUAUACAGCUUUUCACAUUGGUAUGUAAUGGCGACCUGAAUUAUGCAAUUUUAUCUUAGAAAAGACAAAUAAUGUAUACAUGCAUUGGUUUUUGUUUUAUUUUUAGAAUUAGAAUAGAUAAUAUAAUGAGAUCCACGCUAAGGAACAAGCAUGCAUGGAUAUUUCUUAAGUAUCCAAAACUACUGUCAAGUAUAAAAUAAUUUUAAAGGAGUAUAUCAAAUAAAUGAAUUCUAUUGAAUCGGAAAAAUUUUUAGGCGAAAGUAAAAAAUCAAUCGGUUCUUCUUGUAGUGAUAGAAAUACUAGGGGGCCCUGGGCGCAUAUUCUAUGAGGUAACGUGUGUUUAUAUAUUAUGUAUUUAGAUUCAAAAAUAAUUGUAAUGAUGACGUUGAAAACCAACACAUGUUGGCCUUUACUCGAUCUAUAUAAACAAUAACCAUUAAAUGAAAAACCUAUAUCGGUUAAUUAAAACAAUCAAUCAAUGCCAAUAACUUUUAUUUUAGUUAAACAAAGAAAUGUAUAUGUAAUAUCAUAUAUAUUCAAUGAAUAAAAUUAUAUCUUAUAAACAGGUCUCGUCUAUUGCGAGAGACAGCUACCAAGACUCCCGACAGAGCUGAAAUGUGACGAACUAAAAAUAAGGAAUGUGACAGUCCAAUUUACCAAGUAAUAAAAACCAUGUCUGGUACAUGACGUAACCGAGUCAUUCUUACCCACAGUAAGUCUAUGCUAAUGACAUCAUGUUACAUGAGAAAUUAAAAUAAAUAAUUCAAGCGGCUAUUUCAUCAAGACAUACACCUAUCUAGCAAUGAUUAUACGAUAAAGUGAUGAUAGCAUAAAAUUGGACCAUCCACAUUGCAUUCGGCUGUAAAAUA